GGAAGACAUUGAGGAAUUGAAGAAGAAGGUUGCAGGAAGUGAAUAAAUGCAUGUAGUUUGACGUCAAAUUCAUGGUGAACGAAUUCCAGCACCAAUGCAAAUGAACUGUAAGUUUCUUGUACAAGAGGCAAAUGUUCAUGUGAAGUAAGAGUAGGUUUUGAUGUAUUUUUAUUUAUCUUAGCACAUCUUCAAAAGAAAAUUCUAUGUUUCACUUUCAUUUGAUAGUGUUAUAACUCAUAGUCUGUUUCUGC
rnacentral:misc_RNA from 1 species